GUGAAGUCUUCUACAAGUGUCCUAUUUGUCCAAUGGCGUUUAAGUCUGCCCCAAGCACACAUUCCCACGCCUACACACAGCAUCCUGGCAUCAAGAUAGGAGAACCAAAGUAAAGACCUUGUCCAAAAAUGUUACCUAUUAUUUAUGCUCUUGUCACGAAUUUUUGCUCAACAAGUUAAUAUUUAUAUUUUUUUCUUAAGAUGAAUUUUUUUUUUUUUUUUUUGAGACAGAGUCUCGCUCUGUCGCCCAGGCUAGAGUGCAGUGGUGCGAUCUUGGCUCACUGCAACCUCCGUCUCCUGGGUUCAAGCGAUUCUCCUGCUUCAGCCUCCUGAGUAGCUGGGACUACAGGUGCAUGCCACCACUCCUGGCUAAUUUUUUGUAUCGUUAAUAGAGAUGGGGUUUCAACAUGUUAGCCAGGAUGGUGUCGAUCUCCUGACCUCGUGAUCCACCUGCCUUGGCCUCCCAAAGUGCUAGGAUUACAGGCGUGAGCCACGGCACCCAGCCUCUUAAGAUGAUUUUUAACAACUCCUAGGAAAACUAUUUUUUAGAAACCCCGACAUCUUUAAAUUUUUCCAUAGUUCCUUUUUUAUAGGGUACACUUUUGCUUAAAAAGUAAUAUUUUUAAGAUGAAGGCAACUUAAGACACUGGUUACUGAAUUUAACUUCAUAGCCAGUAUAAGUCCCUGAUUAGUAAAUUUUUUUUUGCCUUAAUCUUGCUCUUAAUUUGAUUGAUUUUUGCUUU
rnacentral:sRNA from 1 species